CCUUAUUUUUCACGACAACAAGUGCGGCGCCAUUUCGCUCAUUUUGUCAACGUUCUUCCGGCCGCAUAGACGAUGAGCAGCUGAGGCAGUGACUGAAGGCGACGCGUUAAAGCUUAAAAAGCUCACCCGAGCGCCUUUAUGUUUCUUUCUUACCAAUUUUAAGCCAACUGAGGAAUACCCUUAUCCCAAGGUUCGACUACGAUGUUCCGGUAACUUUAAACCACGCCGGGUGUUGAAAAGGUGGACAGUUUCAGAUGCAUUGAUGUGUAGUGAUGCAGUGGACAACUGUGAGGAUGAUACAAUCAACAUGUUCCUAAACUGUGAUGCAGAAACACAAUGGGAGGAUCCAUCCGUCUCUGACCACAACUACACUUUAACAUCACAACUCAACCUGAAGCAACCUACAUCUGAUAUGGGAAAACAAUGGUGCGGUUUCCCUGACAGGGCUUAUGCUGGUCCCAAGCUAAAAUGCAUAUUUGAGCUACAAUAAUUUAAAAACACCUUUUACUGACAUACCUCAACAUAUAUGAGUGCCAUUGUUUUGUCACAAGAUGCGCACCAGUCUUGUUUUUUUGUAGGGUUUGUUUGUAAAAACUAAAAUGUCCUAAUAUAAUUAAAUCCUAAUCCUGUAAACCCUGUCCGAGAAACUGCUUCAAUGUGUUGAGCUGGCACAAAUGUACAAAUCUCUACUGAGAAACAACCAUCUUUGGUUCAGCUUUACAGAGGGUUGAUAUUGCAUCCAUUACACAGUCGCCAAGCACUUUACCAGUACAUACACCAACAGCUUCCAGAUAAACACUUGGGAUCAGCUCCUGAUGACUCCGAUAAAGCUGUGUCUUAAUUUAUUGCAGGGUGAUCUUGCUUUACCUGUUGUAAAGUUACAUUAAACCUUCAUAUGUGAUCAGAUGUCAUGCAGUGAUAUUAAACAUUUACAGUGUGAUCAGAUGUUGUGCAUUUAUAUUAAACCUUUACAAUGUGAUCAGAUGUUGUGCAUUUAUAUUAAACCUUUACAAUGUGA